UCAGCAGGUGGAUGUUUGGUCCUCUUCUAGUGUCUAUUGUUCAGCAGGUGGAUGUUUGGUCCUCUUCUAGUGUCUAUUGUUCAGCAGGUGGAUAUUUGGUCCUCUUCUAGUGUCUAGUGUUCAGCAGGUGGAUGUUUGGUCCUCUUCUAGUGUCUAUUGUUCAGCAGGUGGAUGUUUGGUCCUCUUCUAGUGUCUAGUGUUCAGCAGGUGGAUGUUUGGUCCUCUUCUACUGUCUAUUGUUCAGCAGGUGCCACAGAUCAGUUGUGGUGAAGGUUACGCCAGUAUAUUACUAACUACAGAAGUUGAAACUGAAGGUUGGAUUGGAACCAUGUCACUGGGUUUAAUCAAACAGUGUUUCAGUAAAUUUAGGAUAUUCCUGUGUGGGUGAGAGAUUAUCAAGACGUCAAUUAGUCAGUAUCUCAACGGGUGGAAACCCCCA